AUGACACUGUCACUGUUCUACUCCCUUUUCCUACUCGCUGCCCCGUCAGGUGUCCUCUCUCAGGUGCAGCUGAUCCAGACUGGCCCGGGAGCAGUGAAACCCGGAGAGACCCUCAGUAUCACCUGUAAGGUUUCUGGAGUCUCCGUCAGCAGCUACUAUUGGAGCUGGGUCCGGCAGCCGUCGGGGAAAGAGCUGGAGUGGAUGGGGCGCAUCCAGAGCACUGCAGGGGGAGGCAGCACAGAUUACAGCUUGGCUUUCAGUAGCCGGAUCACCAUCGCCAGGGACACCUCGAAGGGCGAAGUUUAUCUCCUGCUCCGCUCGCUGACAGCUGCAGACACUGGCACCUAUUACUGUGCCAGGGACACAGUGACACAGAGCAGAGCAGGGACUGGCACAAAAAGAGGAAGCGAGUUCCGCGCAGACACUCUGGGCCCUCUUACACAAACAUCCCUGCUCCUGGUAGCAGGAAAACGUGCACUCUUCUGGCCAUUAUUAUCUCACACUCAUUGGGCAGGGGCUGUCACCUCAGAGAACCGAAAUGGGUGA